rnacentral:rRNA from 1 species
GACGAACGCUGGCGGCGUGCUUAACACAUGCAAGUCGAGCGGUAAGGCCCUUUCGGGGGUACACGAGCGGCGAACGGGUGAGUAACACGUGGGUGACCUGCCCUCAGCUCUGGGAUAAGCCUGGGAAACCGGGUCUAAUACUGGAUAUGACUCCAUGACGCAUGUUGUGGGGUGGAAAGCCUUGUGCGGCUGAGGAUGGGCCCGCGACCUAUCAGCUUGUUGGUGGGGUGAUGGCCUACCAAGGCGACGACGGGUAGCCGGCCUGAGAGGGCGGCCGGCCACACUGGGACUGAGACACGGCCCAGACUCCUACGGGAGGCAGCAGUGGGGAAUCUUGCGCAAUGGGCGAAAGCCUGACGCAGCGACGCCGCGUGAGGGAUGACGGCCU